UGGGGCCGUCGCGCAGCAGGCGGGCGGCGGCUUCCUGCGCCGCCAGGCCACGGUCGAGAUCGGUGGCGGCGCGCUCGGCCACCGCGCCGGCGUCGA
rnacentral:tRNA from 1 species